UUUAAACAAAUUUUGAAAAAAAGUUUUUUAUACAUUUUUUUGCCUACCCUGCCUUUAAUGAUUAAGACAUAAAGACGUACUAAACCAGUUAGAAGUUUGCGUUAUGUUUAGUAAACCAAUCGUACAGGACCAAAGAGGAAGAUAGGAAAAAGAAGCGCUCAUGGCAUCAGAUUACGUGUUUUCAAACAAUCUCGUACUUCGAUCAGUGAAAGACCAGGUACAGAGGGCGGGAACAUGUGGCGCACCUUCUCUUCCUGAACAUCAGCCAAUGAGUUUGGAGAAGGAGCAGCUCCUGGAUCAGAUGGCUGAACUCAUCAGAGACAUCGGCGACUCUCUCGAUCGGGAGCCAAAAUUCAAUGAGUUAGUAUCGAAAGGUCUUUUUUGGUAUACGAGCAUAUUACUGUAUGUAAUAAUUAUGGAAGUCAAUUUUUUUAAAAAAAAAUAUUAGAAUUAAUGUGAGAUAGUUUAAGAAAUAAAGUUGUUGGAAAUGAGUUGCUAUUAAAGGAUUAGUUCACUUUCAAAUAACAUUUUCCUGAUAAUUUACUCACCCCCAUGUCAUCCAGGAUGUUCAUGUC